rnacentral:rRNA from 1 species
GGAAUAUUGGGCAAUGGACGAGAGUCUGACCCAGCCAUGCCGCGUGCCGGAUGAAGGCCUUCUGGGUUGUAAACGGCUUUUCUCAGGGAAGAAAAAGGGUAUGCGUACCAAACUGACGGUACCUGAGGAAUAAGCACCGGCUAACUCCGUGCCAGCAGCCGCGGUAAUACGGAGGGUGCAAGCGUUGUCCGGAUUUAUUGGGUUUAAAGGGUGCGUAGGCGGCUUGUUAAGUCCGGGGUGAAAGCCCACAGCUCAACUGUGGAACUGCCCUGGAUACUGGCAAGCUUGAGUCCAGACGAGGUUGGCGGAAUGGAAGGUGUAGCGGUGAAAUGCAUAGAUACCUUCCAGAACCCCGAUUGCGUAGGCAGCUGACUAGGCUGGUACUGACGCUGAGGCACGAAAGCGUGGGGAGCGAACAGGAUUAGAUACCCCAG